rnacentral:rRNA from 1 species
UAAUACGUAGGGGGCAAGCGUUGUCCGGAUUUAUUGGGCGUAAAGAGCUCGUAGGCGGCUAUUCACGUCGGAUGUGAAAGCUCAAGGCUCAACCUUGAGAGGCCAUUCGAUACGGGAUAGCUAGAGGUAGGUAGGGGAGAUCGGAAUUCCUGGUGUAGCGGUGAAAUGCGCAGAUAUCAGGAGGAACACCGAUGGCGAAGGCAGAUCUCUGGGCCUUACCUGACGCUGAGGAGCGAAAGCUGGGGGAGCGAACAGGAUUAGAUACCCUGGUAGUCCCAGCCGUAAACGUUGAGUGCUAGGUGUGGGGCGGUCUUCAACCCGCUCUGUGCCGCAGCUAACGCAUUAAGCACUCCGCCUGGGGAGUACGGUCGCAAGACUA